CUUAGACCUGCAGACACUUAUCACUGUUAGAUGGGCCCUUCCAAGAGAAUUUGUAAACAGAGAUCUUGCUCUCAGGAAAUUUAACAUUUAAUUCAUAGAACCCAAAAUCACAGCCUACAGAGAAAUGCACUUUCUUAAGGUAAUGUGUUCUGUUUGCCAGCACUUUGACACAAAGAGAAGUGCUGGCUUCAUAGAAAUAAUUAAUCCUCUUUUUCUGCCACUGGGAUAAACAAAGGAAAGAAAGAAAUAGAUGUUAUAAAAAAAUAAAAUCCAAGGCAGAUCAAAGGGGAUGUGGCGGAGGAUUCAGCAACUGCCACCCUUAAGCAAAGAACAGUAAUGAAGAAAUGAGUUUUGGCAGCCUAGCCAAUGGGAUAUGAAAGAAAUUAAUCCCGAAGGGAUGUAAUGACCUGAAAAAAAUGAUGAGCAAAGUCCAGAAGGAUUAGAAGAAAGAAAAAGGCAGCAGACAGAAUGGACUUCAGUGCAACAGGGAAUUAAACUGAAAUCAUUAAAUUCUUUCUGCUUAGCACUUUAGAGAAAAUUUCUAUCAGCCUGCCUAAGUGCUCACCAUGGGAAACUGAAACCAGGAAUUUAAUCUCAAAUUUCUGAAGACAUUCAGACUUAUCCAUUGUUCUAUGAAUCAGGAAUAUGUUAACAGAAGUUCUGGUUAUUGAAGAAUCUUCAGAAUGAAAAUCAAAUUAUGAAAUCCCCAGGUUGGAAAUGUUUGAGGAGGCAUUUAUCAUGAAAGCCGUGGCCUUUGCUCCUAAAGCUUCGUCUCACAAGUACAAUAACAAAAACUGCUAAUUAAAAGAGGGAAAACAACCAGGAGUCAAACACAAAGGGGCAUCCCUGCCUCAUCAGCACAGAACAAUCGACCGGCUCCCUUCACUGCCCAUGCGAGGCUCCAUGUGAGGAAGCCUGCUCUGCCCUUCCAGGAAGCAGGUGUGGGAAUAGAAGGAGGCACCACUCAUCUUCUGCAGAAAAGCAAAAUGAAGACAUCAUCAGAGAGCAGCACUCAUUGGAAGUAGCUCCUCGGGUUCCCUUCUAAUGUCAGGGUG
rnacentral:lncRNA from 1 species